AAUGAACGCUGGCGGCGCGCCUAAUACAUGCAAGUCGAGCGAGAAGACGUAGCAAUACGUUUGUAAAGCGGCGAACGGGUGAGGAAUACAUGGGUAACCUACCCUAGAGUGGGGAAUAACUAGCCGAAAGGUUAGCUAAUACCGCGUACGCUCCUUGGACUUCGGUUCAGGGAGGAAAGCGAUGCCGAGGGUAUCGCGCUCUUGGAUGGGCUCAUGUCCUAUCAGCUUGUUGGNGAGGUAACGGCUCACCAAGGCUUCGACGGGUAGCUGGUCUGAGAGGACGAUCAGCCACACUGGCACUGCGACACGGGCCAGACUCCUACGGGAGGCAGCAGUAAGGAAUAUUGCGCAAUGGGCGAAAGCCUGACGCAGCGACGCCGCGUGGGGGAGUGAAGGUC
rnacentral:rRNA from 1 species